rnacentral:rRNA from 1 species
UGGGGAAUAUUGGACAAUGGGCGCAAGCCUGAUCCAGCCAUGCCGCGUGAGUGAUGAAGGCCUUAGGGUUGUAAAGCUCUUUCAGUAGGGAAGAUAAUGACGGUACCUACAGAAGAAGCCCCGGCUAACUUCGUGCCAGCAGCCGCGGUAAUACGAAGGGGGCUAGCGUUGUUCGGAUUUACUGGGCGUAAAGCGCACGUAGGCGGGUCGUUAAGUCAGGGGUGAAAUCCUGGAGCUCAACUCCAGAACUGCCUUUGAUACUGGCGACCUAGAGUCCGGAAGAGGUGAGGGGAACUCCUAGUGUAGAGGUGGAAUUCGUAGAUAUUAGGAAGAACACCAGUGGCGAAGGCGGCUCACUGGUCCGGUACUGACGCUGAGGUGCGAAAGCGUAGGGAGCAAACAGG